GUGUUUAUAAAUGACCUUGGAAAAUGUUUAUCAAAUUCUUCGUAGUUUCUAUUCUAGCUUCACAUAGUAAAAAAAAGAUCAACCAGAAUCAGCGAAACUCUCCACCGGAAUUCUCUUGACAUUAUCAUCCAAUUCACUCCUCAUAGCAAGGCAUCCAUCCAUAGUUGGAUGGGAGAACUGGAGCCAGGAGCAAUCUGCAGGAAAGGAAUCUGCAUCAACCCGCAGAAUUUUGCAGUAAAAAGGGAGGACUGGAGACAGAAGCAAACAGAUGGAGAGUCAUCCUGCACAGGAAUAAUCCAGGCUGAGGGCCAUCUAAGAACUACAACAAGACGCAAGGACAAUCUCCAGUGGGAAACUGCGGCAAUUAUGCAGCACCCUGCAGAAGCACACGUGCAAAAGGGAAAACUAGAGACUGUCGCCUGAAGAGUCCAGAAGACUAGAGACUUGGCAAAGGCAGCAUCAAGGUGAGGAAGAAACUUUAAGCGCCAACCAAAGGGGAUCAUCCAGAGGCAGGUUCAGGAGAAAAUCAUGAAGAUGCAGCAUAGACAACUGCAGCAAACUUGGCAUAUGAAGUUAAGUUUUCCAAUUCUCUGAUCUAUGUAAUUCUAAUUCCGAUUGUUUUUUUUGAAGAAAUGACACAUAAACACCAAAAUUUAGAACUAUAAUCUAAUGACAAAGAAAUAAUUUAACCCCUUUC